UGCAAGUCGAGCGGUAGCACAGAGAGCUUGCUCUCGGGUGACGAGCGGCGGACGGGUGAGUAAUGUCUGGGAAACUGCCUGAUGGAGGGGGAUAACUACUGGAAACGGUAGCUAAUACCGCAUAACGUCGCAAGACCAAAGAGGGGGACCUUCGGGCCUCUUGCCAUCAGAUGUGCCCAGAUGGGAUUAGCUAGUAGGUGGGGUAAUGGCUCACCUAGGCGACGAUCCCUAGCUGGUCUGAGAGGAUGACCAGCCACACUGGAACUGAGACACGGUCCAGACUCCUACGGGAGGCAGCAGUGGGGAAUAUUGCACAAUGGGCGCAAGCCUGAUGCAGCCAUGCCGCGUGUAUGAAGAAGGCCUUCGGGUUGUAAAGUACUUUCAGCGAGGAGGAAGGCAUUGUGGUUAAUAACCACAGUGAUUGACGUUACUCGCAGAAGAAGCACCGGCUAACUCCGUGCCAGCAGCCGCGGUAAUACGGAGGGUGCAAGCGUUAAUCGGAAUUACUGGGCGUAAAGCGCACGCAGGCGGUCUGUCAAGUCGGAUGUGAAAUCCCCGGGCUCAACCUGGGAACUGCAUUCGAAACUGGCAGGCUAGAGUCUUGUAGAGGGGGGUAGAAUUCCAGGUGUAGCGGUGAAAUGCGUAGAGAUCUGGAGGAAUACCGGUGGCGAAGGCGGCCCCCUGGACAAAGACUGACGCUCAGGUGCGAAAGCGUGGGGAGCAAACAGGAUUAGAUACCC
rnacentral:rRNA from 1 species